rnacentral:rRNA from 1 species
AACGAACGCUGGCGGCAGGCUUAACACAUGCAAGUCGAGCGCCCCGCAAGGGUAGCGGCAGACGGGUGAGUAACGCGUGGGAAUCUACCCAUCUCUACGGAAUAACGCAUGGAAACGUGUGCUAAUACCGUAUACGUCCUUCGGGAGAAAGAUUUAUCGGAGAUGGAUGAGCCCGCGUUGGAUUAGCUAGUUGGUGGGGUAAAGGCCUACCAAGGCGACGAUCCAUAGCUGGUCUGAGAGGAUGAUCAGCCACACUGGGACUGAGACACGGGCCAGACUCCUGCGGGAGGCAGCAGUGGGGAAUAUUGGACAAUGGGCGCAAGCCUGAUCCAGCCAUGCCGCGUGAGUGAUGAAGGCCCUAGGGUUGUAAAGCUCUUUCACCGGUGAAGAUAAUGACGGUAACCGGAGAAGAAGCCCCGGCUAACUUCGUGCCAGCCGCCGCCGUAACAC